rnacentral:rRNA from 1 species
CCCUUAGAUGUCCUGGGCUGCACGCGCGCUACACUGGAAGUUACGGAUUGAGAUACUACCUUGUCCGAAAUGGUCCGGGUAAUCACCUAAAAGCUUGUCAUAAUUGGAAUGGAUUAUUGUAACUAGUAAUCCUGAACGAGGAAUUCCUAGUAAGUCCCAGUCAACAGCUGGUACUGAUUACGUCCCUGCCCUUUGUACACACCGCCCGUCGCUACUACUGAUUGGACGUUUAAGCAAGAUUUUUAGACACUGACAGUGUGUAGUUCACGCUAUACUACAGUGAGAAGAAGAAGAUCGAGCUUACUUGUCUAGAGGAAGUAAAAGUCGUAACA